rnacentral:rRNA from 1 species
GUUUACCUACGGGGGGCAGCAGUAGGGAAUCUUCCACAAUGGGCGAAAGCCUGACGCAGCGACGCCGCGUGAGGGAUGAAGGUCUUCGGAUCGUAAACCUCUGUCAGCAGGGAAGAACGGUCACUGUGCUAAUCAGCAGUGAAUUGACGGUACCUGCAAAGGAAGCACCGGCUAACUCCGUGCCAGCAGCCGCGGUAAUACGUAGGGAGCGAGCGUUGUCCGGAAUUACUGGGUGUAAAGGGAGCGUAGGCGGGACUGCAAGUUGGGGGUCAAAUCUACCGGCUCAACCGGGAGCCGCACUCAAA